GAGUUUGAUCCUGGCUCAGGAUGAACGCUGGCGGCGUGCUUAACACAUGCAAGUCGAACGGGAAACAUUUUAUUGAAGCUUCGGCAGAUUUAGAUUGUUUCUAGUGGCGGACGGGUGAGUAACGCGUGGGUAACCUGCCUUAUACCGGGGGAUAACAGCCAGAAAUGACUGCUAAUACCGCAUAAGCGCACAGAACCGCAUGGUUCGGUGUGAAAAACUCCGGUGGUAUAAGAUGGACCCGCGUUGGAUUAGCUAGUUGGCAGGGCAGCGGCCUACCAAGGCGACGAUCCAUAGCCGGCCUGAGAGGGUGAACGGCCACAUUGGGACUGAGACACGGCCCAGACUCCUACGGGAGGCAGCAGUGGGGAAUAUUGCACAAUGGGGGAAACCCUGAUGCAGCGACGCCGCGUGAAGGAAGAAGUAUCUCGGUAUGUAAACUUCUAUCAGCAGGGAAGAUAAUGACGGUACCUGACUAAGAAGCCCCGGCUAACUACGUGCCAGCCGCCGCGGUAAUUC
rnacentral:rRNA from 1 species